GACGAACGCUGGCGGCGUGCUUAACACAUGCAAGUCGAACGGAAAGGCCUCUUUCGGGGGGUACUCGAGUGGCGAACGGGUGAGUAACACGUGAGUAACCUGCCCUUGACUUUGGGAUAACUUCAGGAAACUGGGGCUAAUACCGGCUACGAGCUCCUGCUGCAUGGUGGGGGUUGGAAAGUUUCGGCGGUUGGGGAUGGACUCGCGGCUUAUCAGCUUGUUGGUGGGGUAGUGGCUUACCAAGGCUUUGACGGGUAGCCGGCCUGAGAGGGUGACCGGCCACAUUGGGACUGAGAUACGGCCCAGACUCCUACGGGAGGCAGCAGUGGGGAAUAUUGCACAAUGGGUGGAAGCCUGAUGCAGCAACGCCGUGUGCGGGAUGACGGCCUUCGGGUUGUAAACCGCUUUCGCUCAUGACGAAGCUUUGUGUGACGGUAGUGGGUAAAGAAGCACCGGCUAACUACGUG
rnacentral:rRNA from 1 species